rnacentral:rRNA from 1 species
GACGAACGCUGGCGGCGUGCUUAACACAUGCAAGUCGAACGAUGAAGUUCCUUCGGGAAUGGAUUAGUGGCGAACGGGUGAGAAACACGUGAGAAACCUGCCUUUCAUUUUGGGAUAACUCCGGGAAACCGGAGCUAACACCGAAUACUCCGUCUCGGCGGCAUCGCUGAGCUGGGAAAAAAUUUUGAUGAAAGAUGGUCUCGCGGCCUAUCAGCUAGUUGGUGAGGUAAUGGCUCACCAAGGCGACGACGGGUAGCCGGCCUGAGAGGGCGACCGGCCACACUGUGACUGAGACACGGCCCAGACUCCUACGGGAGGCAGCAGUGGGGAAUAUUGGGCAAUGGGCGCAAGCCUGACCCAGCGACGCCGCGUGAGGGAUGAAGGCCUUCGGGUUGUAAACCUCUUUCAGUAGGGAAGAAGCGAAAGUGACGGUACCUAAGGAAGAAGCACCGGCUAACUAUGUGCCAGCCGCCGCAGUAA